AACGCGAAGAACCUUACCAGGUCUUGACAUCUAGCGCCAAUCUCAGAGAUGAGACGUUCCCUUCGGGGACGCUAAGACAGGUGGUGCAUGGUUGUCGUCAGCUCGUGUCGUGAGAUGUUGGGUUAAGUCCCGCAACGAGCGCAACCCUUAUUAUCAGUUGCCAGCAUUUAGUUGGGCACUCUGGUGAGACUGCCGGUGACAAACCGGAGGAAGGUGGGGACGACGUCAAAUCAUCAUGCCCCUUAUGACCUGGGCUACACACGUGCUACAAUGGACGGUACAACGAGUUGCGAACUCGCGAGGGUAAGCUAAUCUCUUAAAGCCGUUCUCAGUUCGGACUGUAGGCUGCAACUCGCCUACACGAAGUCGGAAUCGCUAGUAAUCGCGGAUCAGAAUGCCGCGG
rnacentral:rRNA from 1 species